UCGAACAGACCUAAAUUUUUUAGCUCCUACACCAAAAUUAUAUUUUAAUCCAACAUCGAGGUCGCAAUCUCUUCUUUCGAUAUGAACUCUCAAGAAGCAUUACGCUGUUAUCCCUAAGGUAAUUUAAUCUUUUAAUCUACAAAGGAUCAAAUAUUCAAAAAUUAAUGUUUAAAUAUAAAAAAAGUUUAAUAAAUUUUUCAAUCGCCCCAACCAAAUUAAUAAUUACAUAAAAAAAUUUUAAAUUCUAAAAAAAUCCCCAUAUAACUUUCAAUAAAACUCUAUAGGGUCUUCUCGUCUUCUAUCAAAAUUUAAGCUUUCUUACUUAAAAAUAAAAUUCUAAUUAAAUUAAACAGAGACAGUUAUUUUCUCAUCCAACCUUUCAUACAAGCUUUCAAUUAAAAAACUAGUGAUUAUGCUACCUUUGCACGGUCAGGUUACCGCGGCCAUUUAAACUAUCAUUGGGCAGGCUAGACCUUAAAUUAUUAUCAAAAA
rnacentral:rRNA from 1 species